AUUGAACGCUGGCGGCAUGCUUUACACAUGCAAGUCGAACGGUAACAGGCCGCAAGGUGCUGACGAGUGGCGAACGGGUGAGUAAUGCAUCGGGACGUGCCCAGUCGUGGGGGAUAACGCAGCGAAAGUUGCGCUAAUACCGCAUACGAUCUAUGGAUGAAAGCGGGGGACCGUAAGGCCUCGCGCGAUUGGAGCGGCCGAUGUCAGAUUAGGUAGUUGGUGGGGUAAAGGCUCACCAAGCCGACGAUCUGUAGCUGGUCUGAGAGGACGACCAGCCACACUGGGACUGAGACACGGCCCAGACUCCUACGGGAGGCAGCAGUGGGGAAUUUUGGACAAUGGGCGCAAACCUGAUCCAGCAAUGCCGCGUGCAGGAAGAAGGCCUUCGGGUUGUAAACUGCUUUUGUACGGAACGAAACGGUCCUGGUUAAUACCCGGGGCUAAUGACGGUACCGUAAGAAUAAGCACCGGCUAACUACGUGCCAGCCGCCGCCGUAAAAC
rnacentral:rRNA from 1 species